rnacentral:lncRNA from 1 species
CUCUGAUCUGAUACUUUCUGCAAUGUCUUCACACACAUAUAAUAUCAAUUACUGGCAAGAUUGCACACACAAUAUUUUGUAUUUAGUAGCCUAAACCAUAAGCUUACUAUGACUACAAAAGCAUAUUACACAUUUGUUCAGCCGCAAACAACAUUGAAAUAUAAAAACACAAUUGCACUACGUUUUAAGGCACUAAAGCAAU